rnacentral:rRNA from 1 species
UGGCCGCGCAAGUCCGUCGGGAAAUCCAACGGCUCAACCGUUGGGCGUCCGGCGGAACCUGCCCGGCUUGGGACCGGAAGGCUCGAGGGGUACGUCCGGGGUAGGAGUGAAAUCCCGUAAUCCUGGACGGACCACCGAUGGCGAAAGCACCUCGAGAGGACGGAUCCGACAGUGAGGGACGAAAGCUGGGGUCUCGAACCGGAUUAGAUACCCGGGUAGUCCCAGCCGUAAACGAUGCUCGCUAGGUGUGGCGCAGGCUACGAGCCUGCGCUGUGCCGUAGGGAAGCCGAGAAGCGAGCCGCCUGGGAA